UACGUAGGGUGCAAACGUUGUUCGGAAUUACUGGGCGUAAAGCGCGUGUAGGCUGCUCCGAAAGUCGGAUGUGAAAGCCCUGGGCUCAACCUAGGAAGUGCAUUCGAAACUUCGGAGCUGGAGUCCUGGAGAGGAAGGCGGAAUUCUCGGUGUAGAGGUGAAAUUCGUAGAUAUCGAGAGGAACACCGGUGGCGAAGGCGGCCUUCUGGACAGUGACUGACGCUGAGACGCGAAAGCGUGGGGAGCAAACAGG
rnacentral:rRNA from 1 species